UUUCCGGUUGAUCCUGUCGGAGGCCACUGCUAUCGGGCUCCGACUAAGCCAUGCGAGUCUAGGGGCUCCUUCGGGAGCACCGGCGGACGGCUCAGUAACACGUGGACAACCUACCCUCGGGUGGGGGAUAACCUCGGGAAACUGAGGCUAAUACCCCAUAGGUCUCGGAUACUGGAAGGUUCCGAGGCCGAAAGCUCCGGCGCCCGAGGAUGGGUCUGCGGCCUAUCAGGUAGUUGGUGGUGUAAAGGACCACCAAGCCUGCGACGGGUACGGGCCCUGAGAGGGGGAGCCCGGAGAUGGACUCUGAGACACGAGUCCAGGCCCUACGGGGCGCAGCAGGCGCGAAACCUUCGCAAUGCGCGAAAGCGCGACGAGGGGAGCCCGAGUGCCCUUCCUUUUGGGAGGGCUUUUCCGGAGUCUAAAAAGCUCCGGGAAUAAGGGCUGGGCAAGACGGGUGCCAGCCGCCGCGGUAAUACCCGCAGCUCGAGUGGUGGCCACUAUUAUUGAGCCUAAAGCGUCCGUAGCCGGACCCGUAAAUCCCUGGGUAAAUCCUAGCGCUCAACGUCAGGAAUUCCGGGGAGACUGCGGGUCUUGGGACCGGGAGAGGCCGGAGGUACUCCCGGGGUAGGGGUAAAAUCCUGUAAUCCCGGGGGGACCACCUGUGGCGAAAGCGUCCGGCUUGAACGGCUCCGACGGUGAGGGACGAAGGCCAGGGGAGCAAACCGGAUUAGAUACCCGGGUAGUCCUGGCUGUAAACGCUGCCCGCUUGGUGUUGUCGGUCUCUCGGGGGCCGGCAGUGCCGGAGCGAAGGUGUUAAGCGGGCCGCUUGGGGAGUACGGCCGCAAGGCUGAAACUUAAAGGAAUUGGCGGGAGAGCACUGCAACGGGAGGAGCGUGCGGUUUAAUUGGAGUCAACGCCGGAA
rnacentral:rRNA from 1 species